AUGGCCGCCUCCCCCACCGCCUCCGCCUCCGGCUCCGCGGCCGCGGCGGCGGCGGCCGCCUCCGAGGCCAACGACGGGCCCACGCUCUCCGUGGUCACCAAGCGCCUCCGCGCGCUGCGCAAGAAGCAGAACCGCAUCGCGCAGAUGGAGGAGGCCGUCGCCGCCGGCAAGACGCUCAACCAGGAGCAGAAGGAGGUGAUGCGCUCCAAGCCCACCCUCGCCGCCGUCAUCGACGAGCUCGAGCGGCUCCGCGCGCCGCUCGCCGUCGCCGUCGCUGAGGAGGUCUCCGUCGCCCCCGCCCCCGCCCCGGCCCCGGCCCCGGAGCCCUCCGGCUCGGAUUCCUCCGUCCAGGACCUCCUCGCGCUCGUCUACUUCGGCACCCUCUUCGACGUCAAGCCGCAGAGCGACUUCAUCGCCACCAUGGUCGCCCGCGAGCAUGAGCGGAGCAGCUGCAUCACCUACGACUGCGUCGGGGACGACACUGUGGACCUGCUCGUGGAGGGCGACCUCGACGUCGUGUCCGCUGUGGCGGCCCUUGCCGCGGCUCGCCCUGCUUCCGCGGUGGGCGUCUCCCACCGCGACGCGCUCCAGGCCUGUGCCCACCAUGCCCGCUUAUGGCUCGCCCGCGCCGACGAGCCGAUCCACCCUGGCUCCUCUGUUACUUAUGCUGCGGUGAGGGCUAAGCUGGACAGGAUCAUGGCAUCAGACUACUACACAGCAGCUGCAGUUGGAGGAGGGAGCUAUGGAGCUGAAGGUGUGCAGGCACAGGAGAGUAUGACUGCCUCACCAGAGGCAUCAGCAGUGGAGGAGAACCUAGCUGCUGAAGGUCACAAGGAGGAGAAGGAAGACUCCCAUGCUACGGAAAUUUACAAUGAUCAUCAGUCUGAUUCAGCGGACGUGCAAAAUGUGGAUCGUGAAGCCCCCGUGAACCCUCCCGAGGAAUAUCCCUCUGUUCAGGCAGAGCAGGAGAAGUUUGACAUGGAAGAGCAAGAUGAGAGGGAUGCUGAGCCAAAAGAGCAGCAGUUCCAGCACCCUAGGCGGUCUCAUCAGAACCAGCGGGGAGGUGGUCGUGGCAGGAGGGGGGCCUACCCCAAUGGCCGUGGCGGGCGUGGAGGCGGCCGUGGCAUGGGCGGCGGCUACCAGAAUGGGCGUGGAUACCAGGGUGGGGGUGGCGGAUACCAGGGAGGCGGUGGCGGGUACCAGAAUGGCCGGGGUGGCGGCGGCGGGUACUACAACAACAACGAAGAAGGGUACUACCAGCCGAGGAACUUCAACAACAGGGGCAGGGGCGGCCGGUCUGGCGGCGGCAACUCUUACUACAGCAACCAGGGAGGAGGCCACGCGUACGCCGAGAGGGUUGAGGCAAAUGCUUAG
rnacentral:rRNA from 1 species